UUUUUUUUCAAAGUUAGGGAGGAACGGUGUGGUGUGAACGGUGUGGUGUGCACGAUGGCUUGGCAGCCUUGGGCGAAGGAGAUGCUGUCAUUACGGCAUGGAUUCAGGUAACGUAGCGGUUAGAGUGUUGGGCCAGUAACCAAAAGGUUGCUGGUUUGAACACCCAAGCCGACAAGUAGAUGUGAUCCAGAUGGCGAUAGCUGCAGUCUGAUCCUGGACCCUGUCCUGUGCUGUCUCAGCACUAGGAAACAUACACACUCUGGCUCCCAUUACACAGCAGACUAUUACUGCCUCCCAAACAGCAACCUAUUUCCUACAUAGUACUGUGCACUACUUUCGACCAGAGCCCUA
rnacentral:lncRNA from 1 species